rnacentral:lncRNA from 1 species
AAUCUACUAAUCUGCACAACAAAGCAAAAAUCUGAUUAAAGCAGCUCAGCUCUAUCCCUUUCCCUGCAGCAGCCCAUUUUUUCUUCUAUAAAUCAGUGAUAUGAUAACCCAUAUCAAUACAACUUUAGACUUUUAGCAUCAUUUUCUUUUUUCAAACUUUGGAACUGCCGAAAGAGUAUCUAAAUUACCUUCCCAGGCAAGUCUCUCUCUCUUUUCCCAUGCUCUUUGGUAUAUAUUUUCUCCUUCCUUUUUUUUAAUUUAUUUUAAAAAAAGCAGAUAAGAGGACAUGCACAAACAUUGAUAUAUAUAUACUUUGCUUCGUUUGGAAACACAAAAGUGUAUCGUGUUAUAAAGUAGGUGGGAAUUGAACGUGCUCUCAAAGUGUUCAAAGCUUAUAGUUUCUCCAAACAAAAAGUUCCGAUCAAAUUGGAAGCUUCUCUAGUUGCGAUUUUAUUCUGUUGUUACGUACGUAUGAAUAUUGACCCAAAACAAACUAAGCUUUACUUGUUUCGAAAUUAUAUCUAGAAACAUGCAUCCGAUCACAACCUUUUUAAAAGGAAAUUUAUUAUAGUAUAUGUUUAAUAAUUCAGUUAUUUCUUUUUAAAUUUUAUUUAUCAUACUGAAGUGCAUUUAAUUGUACAACUAGCUAGAGUGUCACGAAUUGGUCCGCUAUACAUUAAUACACAUAGAUAGGGUAUUACGAUGCAGUGAUUUAUCGAUAUAUUUUUUCCAGACAUUAAUUUGAAAAAGGAGCUAGAGUGGGGCCACUGAGUUUCGUUUCAUAAUAAAAAUAGACAUUCAUAACCAACAACCAAAUUUAGAAAAUUAUUGUAGUUAAAUAAAAAGCAAAUGUAAAAGACCAUUAUUGUGAAAAUUACUAAUUGCUAAUGUUAAGGAAUUUUCUAGCUAUACGCAUUUUCAAUGACAUCUUUAACUCCCAACUCCCAAGUGUUCAUAUAAUCAUAUUUGAUGUUUCAUCAAUUUUACUCAAUUAUCGUAUAGUAUUUUGGUUUGAGGCGAUCCCCUGAAAUUGUGUAAAUUAAUUAUAUUAAUUGUUUGAUUUAUUUGUGAAAUUUAUUUAAAUUUUAAUUCGUGGAAUUUGAGUAAAAAUUUACUCAUUGUUCCAAAUCCCAUCCUCGAUGAAUUAAAUUCUAAAUUUUGGCGCAUGAAAGGUUAAAUGACUACGUUUAAUAAUAGAAUAGUUCUUUUUUUAUUUUGUAAGUUAGACUAACGAUAGAAUAGUUAAUAUCUAAGGUAAAAUAUCUCAUAUUCGAGUUUGUCGUGAUCUUUAAAUUUGAUGUUGCAAUUAAUUACCAAGAAGAAGAAGAAUAGUCUUUAUUUUUCUGCAGUGCUAAUUAACAUUUUGGAAUUUUAUUUUUUCCACAAAUUAAAUGGACCUAUUUAAGCCGGUAAAGUUACAGUGUAUUAAUUGUAAUUUGAUUAUUAAUGCUGCUUUAACCUUUUUUCAUUGAUUUUUUAAUUAUGUAAAUUAUAUUUAGAUAAAAUAUCAAAUUUAUUUAAUACAUUAUUUAUAUUUACUUUUAUCACUUUAAUGAAAUCAGAAAGUUACAAGGUUGGGCACCAAGCUAUUAAUUAAUAUUUCGUACAAAAAUCCGCCUAAAAAAAUAUUUCAUACAAAAAUCAAAGGUUCACACGAUUACACGUAUUGAAAAUGAUCGCUGUUACUUUUGAAAGCCGAGAACUGUGAUACUCUAAUCCAAGAGAAUGGGACUAUUCCACAACUUAUAAUUAUCAACAAGACAACAAGCUUAUUACUUGAAUUUAUUCUCAUUAAUGUUUUUUUUCUUUCAUUAAAUUAACUACGAACUUUAGACCGAUUUAGCUUAAUUAUUAAGUCCCUAUAUCAUAUAAGAUGGUAAUAAUGAAAUUUCUAAAAAUAUAUAACAUCUUAUUGCAAUAUAUAGAGUUGGUACGUGUAUCCUUACUUUUUCAAAAAGAGAGCUUGAUUAUAAGCUUUUAUAAUCUUAUAUUUUAUAACAUAGCAAUAAGUGUGAUUUGUCCACAAGGGGACACCAAGUUGUGCGAACUCAUGUCUAUGAACAAUGAAGCUUAGGGUUCAAACUCCAGAGCUCUCUCUCCCCCAAAUCAAAAAAUAAAAAAAAAUGCAAUAAGUGUGAUUUUUCAUGACGUGUGACACCGUGCUUGUAAUCUUUAUUAAUUAAAGUUCUUUUAGAAUAAAUAUAAGCUCCAACAUAAUAGGAGCGUUACUUAUAUCUAUAUGGUCCAGUCGUCCAGAUAUAAUUAAGAUCUACGAAAAAAUAUAAAAUCAACGAAUAAGUCAAUAAAAAUCUACGACAAAUCAACUAUAGUUAUCCUCUUUAAGAUUCAAACUCAUGAUUAAAUAUUGUUCGUGCAUUUUAUUAACUUAUUUUGUUAUUUGUUGAUCUCAAUCGUAGAAUUUUAAUUUAAUAUCUGACGUUCAAAUUAAUCACAUUUCUCAUUUAAAAUCAUUCUUGUUUGAUCUAUUAUGUGUGUGUGUGUGUGUGUUUUCUUUUUGAGAUUUUAUUUUAAAUCUCUGCAUCGAUUAUAAGUUGUUUUCUAUAAGUAGGAUUUUNUUUUUCAAAAAUGUUGGGUCGACCUUAGUUUUUUUAUUCUAAAAGACGUUACAAAGCUCCUAAUUAAGGUCGAGCUUUAUCUAAAUUGGACUUCAGAUUUUGAAUGUGCUUACAACCUAAAAAAGAAAAUAGAAAUUUUGUUACUUGAAACACCCUCCGUUGGAUUAUAGCAUGAUAACUAGUAGGGGUUGUUUUAGUUUAUAUUCCCAACUUUCAACAAAUUAACUUUAAUUUAUAGUCUCAACUUUGAUGUUUUUUUUUUUUGUAGAUUUAAACUUUGAGAAAUUAUUUCGUUAUAACCACAAAAUCACACCAAAUUUAUGACAGUAGUUGUUCUUUAAUUAUCGAAAUUACAUCUAAAACAUUGACCAAUCACCACGAAACAAGAGACAAAAUGUAUCUAACUAAAGAAAUUAAAUGGUAAGUUGUUGGACCACUGGCGGUCGGUGUGGUUGGAAUCGCGUUUGAAAGUUGGCGUCAAUGUUACGUACACUGACUUUUAGACGUGAUUCCAACCAUACCGGCGGUCCGAUGACAAUGGGCCACCUACUGUCUUAAGACAGUAGGCUAUAGUUUUGUGGCGAUUGAUCAUUCGGGUGCAAUCGAUAAAGAACAACUUCUAAUUUUGUGGCGAUUGAUUAUUCAGGUGUAAUUUUGAUAAAGACGUCCAACUAUUGUCACAAUUUAGGUAUAAUUGUGGGUUUAAUAAAUAAAUAAUUUCUCAAAAUUCAGGACAUAGAAAAAAUAAAUUAAAAUGAAAAACUUAAAAUUAAGAUCGUAAACUAUAAUUAACCCUAAUAAGUAGCUAGGUCCAUAUUGUACAUAAGGAGUUAACUAAAGCAUGCAUAGGCCCCUAACUGCUAUAGUUGUAGAUUUACAUAUCAUAAUUAAAAUACAUCGUAUUGCAGUAAAUGCAUCUAACUAUAUAUUACUUCCAAUACUUACAUGCGAUCCUUGAGCCUUUUAAAAUUAAAGAUAUAGUCUCCCAAUGGGUAUUAACCUAUGAGUCGGCUUAAUUUAUAUCCAUCCUAAUCCCAAUGUAAAAAUACGAUACUGAAUUAGUGAAUUUCAUAAAGCACUAUACACAGUACCUGUCAUCUUACUCAUUAGACCGUUCUAAAAUAUAUUUUCAUAUUGAAAUAUGUUGUUAAGCAAUAGAAAGGGCAUUUCGCCUCCAACAAACACGUUUUUAAAUAACUCUACGUGAUACAAAUCAUCCUAUUAUCAGGAUAUAAGNAGUAAAAUUGUAUCUUAUGAAAUAACAAACCUUAUAUUUUUUUGAGUUACAACUCAUGCAUACUAUUACUCGAUUCCCGACCUAAGACCCGCUUGAUAUUGUAAUUCAUUAAACUUCAAAAUGUUACAUAAAAAUUGGAUACAUUAAUUAAUUAGUGCUGAUUCCUCAAAAGAAAUAACUCCUUGUACUCUUGGUUUCAUAUUCCUCCCAGUUUUCAGCAGAGGUGUGCGACUGAAACCCCAGAAAAUCUUGCUCUCUCUGCUCAUCUUCCUGAGAAGCAGGUGCAAGAGAAGAAGACGA